rnacentral:tRNA from 1 species
ACCUGGGUGGCUUACUCGGUUAAGCAUCUGACUACAGCUCAGAUCAUGAUCUCAUGGUUUGUGAGUUUGAGCCCCACAUCAGGCU